rnacentral:rRNA from 1 species
GAGUUUGAUCGUGGCUCAGAUUGAACGCUGGCGGCAGGCCUAACACAUGCAAGUCGAGCGGAUGAAGGGAGCUUGCUCCUGGAUUCAGCGGCGGACGGGUGAGUAAUGCCUAGGAAUCUGCCUGGUAGUGGGGGAUAACGUCCGGAAACGGGCGCUAAUACCGCAUACGUCCUGAGGGAGAAAGUGGGGGAUCUUCGGACCUCACGCUAUCAGAUGAGCCUAGGUCGGAUUAGCUAGUUGGUGGGUAAAGGCUACCAAGGCGACGAUCCGUAACUGGUCUGAGAGGAUGAUCAGUCACACUGGAACUGAGACACGGUCCAGACUCCUACGGGAGGCAGCAGUGGGGAAUAUUGGACAAUGGCGAAAGCCUGAUCCAGCCAUG